AAACGACGAGUUUGAUCCUGGCUCAGGACGAACGCUGGCGGCGUGCCUAAUACAUGCAAGUCGUACGCUUCUUUUUCCACCGGAGCUUGCUCCACCGGAAAAAGAAGAGUGGCGAACGGGUGAGUAACACGUGGGUAACCUGCCCAUCAGAAGGGGAUAACACUUGGAAACAGGUGCUAAUACCGUAUAACAAUCGAAACCGCAUGGUUUUGAUUUGAAAGGCGCUUUCGGGUGUCGCUGAUGGAUGGACCCGCGGUGCAUUAGCUAGUUGGUGAGGUAACGGCUCACCAAGGCYACGAUGCAUAGCCGACCUGAGAGGGUGAUCGGCCACAUUGGGACUGAGACACGGCCCAAACUCCUACGGGAGGCAGCAGUAGGGAAUCUUCGGCAAUGGACGAAAGUCUGACCGAGCAACGCCGCGUGAGUGAAGAAGGUUUUCGGAUCGUAAAACUCUGUUGUUAGAGAAGAACAAGGAUGAGAGUAACUGUUCAUCCCUUGACGGUAUCUAACCAGAAAGCCACGGCUAACUACGUGCCAGCAGCCGCGGUAAUACGUAGGUGGCAAGCGUUGUCCGGAUUUAUUGGGCGUAAAGCGAGCGCAGGCGGUUUCUUAAGUCUGAUGUGAAAGCCCCCGGCUCAACCGGGGAGGGUCAUUGGAAACUGGGAGACUUGAGUGCAGAAGAGGAGAGUGGAAUUCCAUGUGUAGCGGUGAAAUGCGUAGAUAUAUGGAGGAACACCAGUGGCGAAGGCGGCUCUCUGGUCUGUAACUGACGCUGAGGCUCGAAAGCGUGGGGAGCAAACAGGAUUAGAUACCCUGGUAGUCCACGCCGUAAACGAUGAGUGCUAAGUGUUGGAGGGUUUCCGCCCUUCAGUGCUGCAGCUAACGCAUUAAGCACUCCGCCUGGGGAGUACGACCGCAAGGUUGAAACUCAAAGGAAUUGACGGGGGCCCGCACAAGCGGUGGAGCAUGUGGUUUAAUUCGAAGCAACGCGAAGAACCUUACCAGGUCUUGACAUCCUUUGACCACUCUAGAGAUAGAGCUUCCCCUUCGGGGGCAAAGUGACAGGUGGUGCAUGGUUGUCGUCAGCUCGUGUCGUGAGAUGUUGGGUUAAGUCCCGCAACGAGCGCAACCCUUAUUGUUAGUUGCCAUCAUUCAGUUGGGCACUCUAGCAAGACUGCCGGUGACAAACCGGAGGAAGGUGGGGAUGACGUCAAAUCAUCAUGCCCCUUAUGACCUGGGCUACACACGUGCUACAAUGGGAAGUACAACGAGUCGCGAAGUCGCGAGGCUAAGCUAAUCUCUUAAAGCUUCUCUCAGUUCGGAUUGUAGGCUGCAACUCGCCUACAUGAAGCCGGAAUCGCUAGUAAUCGCGGAUCAGCACGCCGCGGUGAAUACGUUCCCGGGCCUUGUACACACCGCCCGUCACACCACGAGAGUUUGUAACACCCGAAGUCGGUG
rnacentral:rRNA from 1 species